AAAUUGAAGAGUUUGAUCAUGGCUCAGAUUGAACGCUGGCGGCAGGCCUAACACAUGCAAGUCGAACGGUAACAGGAAGCAGCUUGCUGCUUCGCUGACGAGUGGCGGACGGGUGAGUAAUGUCUGGGAAACUGCCUGAUGGAGGGGGAUAACUACUGGAAACGGUAGCUAAUACCGCAUAACGUCGCAAGACCAAAGAGGGGGACCUUCGGACCUCUUGCCAUCGGAUGUGCCCAGAUGGGAUUAGCUAGUAGGUGGGGUAACGGCUCACCUAGGCGACGAUCCCUAGCUGGUCUGAGAGGAUGACCAGCCACACUGGAACUGAGACACGGUCCAGACUCCUACGGGAGGCAGCAGUGGGGAAUAUUGCACAAUGGGCGCAAGCCUGAUGCAGCCAUGC
rnacentral:rRNA from 1 species